GAUGAACGCUAGCGGCAGGCCUAAUACAUGCAAGUCGAACGAGAUCCAAGAGCUUGCUUUUGGUGAAAGUGGCGCACGGGUGCGUAACGCGUAUGCAACCUACCUUAAUCAGGGGGAUAGCCUCUCGAAAGAGAGAUUAACACCGCAUAACAUUAUGAUAUGGCAUCAUAUUAUAAUCAAAUAUUUAUAGGAUUACGAUGGGCAUGCGUGACAUUAGCUAGUUGGUGAGGUAACGGCUCACCAAGGCUACGAUGUCUAGGGGAUCUGAGAGGAUGACCCCCCACACUGGUAACGAGACACGGACCAGACUCCUACGGGAGGCAGCAGUAAGGAAUAUUGGUCAAUGGAGGCAACUCUGAACCAGCCAUGCCGCGUGCAGGAAGACGGCCCUAUGGGUUGUAAACUGCUUUUAUACGGGAAUAAACCUCUCUACGUGUAGGGAGUUGAAUGUACUGUAAGAAUAAGGAUCGGCUAACUCCGUGCCAGCCGCCGCCGUAAUAC
rnacentral:rRNA from 1 species